rnacentral:lncRNA from 1 species
AAUGUUAAGGAGAAGCUCUUACUUGUGAGUGUUGUUUUUGUGUGUCUGUGGAUAUGUAUGUUUGUGUAUAACAAUAUGUGUAUAUAAAUGUAUGUAUGUUUAGAGAGAGCCCCCCAAGUCGCCCCCCCGCUCCUUGUCUCCCAGUCUGGAGCUUGGCCCUACUAGCUUCCCCCCGCUGCCCCCAGCAACAGCCUCCAGAGAAACACUUACCAUAGCAACCAGCAAUCACAAAGCAACCUGCAACCACAAGUGUGCAGUUACAUACAGCAGUACCAGCCAACCAACCACUGUGACAUUACAAGACCUCCAGCCUAUCACAGCAUUGCCUCAGAAAAACCACCCCCCAGAGAAGCUGAAGGAAACCAUGCUAUCUCUCAAGAGGACCACAGCAGCUCCUCCGACCGUGAAAGAACCUAUCCAGACCACGAAGGAAAACAGACCAGCAGUGGAGUCCAAGAAGCCAAGCUACGCUGAGAUCUGCCAAAGGAUACGAGCCAAUCAAACACUUUGCGCAAACCCCAUUGACCACACCCCAUCCGGGGCGGAGCUUGCCCCAGCCUAUCCUGCACAGGAGUCUGACCAGGCUCAGUUACCACGGUGACCAGAGUGAGCUGGUUACUUUUGGUUGGGGAGGGCAAGAGGGGAGGAGGAGAGAAGAGGAGGACGUUUUUCAAGCCAAAGGAAAAAAAUCUAUAGCCCUUUAAUGUUGAGGUUUUCAUUUGUUUUAUUUAUAAAGUUUAGUUAGUUUUAGAAGCCAAGUUGUAGAACUCUUGUUUUUCUCUGCUGUCUGUCUGUCCGUCUUGUGUCUGUCUGUCUGUCUGUCUGUCUGACUGACGGAAGUCUCUGAAUUCUUUACGGUUUAAUAUUGAUUAAUUUAUUUUUAUGAAUAUUGAUUAGUAUUUAGACCAUCAGACAUACUUCUGUAUUAAUUCCUAAGUCUAAAUAACUUCUGCGGAACAGUUACAAUAACUACACUGAACACACACAACAGUUACAGUAACUACACUGGAACACACUGGAACAGUUACAGUAACUACACUGAACACACUGGAACAGUUACAGUAACUACACUGGAACGCACUGGAACAGUUACAGUAACUACACUGAACACACUGGAACAGUUACAGUAACUACACUGGAACGCACUGGAACAGUUACAGUAACUACACUGAACACACUGGAACAGAUACAGUAACUACACUGAACACACUGGAACAGUUACACUAACUACACUGAACACACUGGAACAGUUACAGUAACUACACAGGAACACACUGAAACAGUUACAGUAACUACACUGGAACACACUGGAACAGUUACAGUAACUACACUGGAUCAUACUGGAACAGUUACAGUAACUACACUGAACACAUUGGAACAGUUACAGUAACUACACAGGAACACACUGGAACAGUUACACUAACUACACAGGAACACACUGGAACAGUUACACUAAGUACAAACAGCCAGACACUGAGUGCCAAGAAGCUAAAAAGCAAUGAUUUCAUAUCAAAAUUUGUUUCUGCAUGAGUUUUAGAUGUAUUUAUUUACUGUUUUAUUUAGAUGGGUUGUCUUGUGUGUUUAUUGGUUUGUGUUGUUUUGAGUUUGGAGGGUGGGUGUCUGUUUAGAAGAGAAACAUCUGAGGUGGAUAUUGAUAUGUGUACAUACAACACUGUUAGCAUUAACAACUUGAAUUUGAUUUGGAAUCUGGGGUAGCUGGAGGGAGAGGGUGGGGGAUGUAGAUAAAACUUCCAGUUCGCAUGUCCUAUGUUUGAGAGAGAUUAACUGUGCAAAUGCGGUUAAUCGAUACAGAAUAUUUUUUUUUUCUGUACAGAUGUAAAUAAUUGGACUAUUAUUAAAUAAGUGCCUUUAAUAAUAAACAAUGGAAAACUCUAU